CCUACGGGCGGCAGCAGUGAGGAAUAUUGGUCAAUGGGCGAGAGCCUGAACCAGCCAAGUCGCGUGAGGGAAGAAGGUCCUAUGGAUUGUAAACCUCUGUUGUCGGGGAGCAAAAGAAGCCACGCGUGGGGGUCCGAGAGUACCCGAAGAAAAAGCAUCGGCUAACUCCGUGCCAGCAGCCGCGGUAAUACGGAGGAUGCGAGCGUUAUCCGGAUUUAUUGGGUUUAAAGGGUGCGUAGGCGGGUGAUCAAGUCAGCGGUAAAAUUGUGGCGCUCAACCUCUUCCAGCCGUUGAAACUGGUGUUCUUGAGUGUGCGAGAAGUCUGCGGAAUGCGUGGUGUAGCGGU
rnacentral:rRNA from 1 species